GAGGCACAUAAUCUUCUGAGAAACUUGUCUGAUGGGCUGAUAUUAUUUGUUCUUGAUCUGAGCUCAAAGGCUGGGAAGUCAAAGAAAUCCAAAGGAGGUCAAUGAGCAAUAGUUUUCUGCAUGAUGCACAAAAAUGCUACACUGGGGAAUUUAAGUCACAUUUACAGGCUUCUUUGCUGAAAUGGGAGAGUCAUUGCUAUACAAGAAAAACAAGCUGUAGAAAU